GACGAACCACACAAACGUUAUUCGGAAUUACUGGGCUUAAAGGGUGCGUAGGCGGCGCAGAAAGUAGGGUGUGAAAUCCCUCGGCUCAACCGAGGAACUGCGCCCUAAACUACUGUGCUCGAGGGAGGUAGAGGUGAGCGGAACUUAGGGUGGAGCGGUGAAAUGCGUUGAUAUCCUAAGGAACACCGGUGGCGAAAGCGGCUUACUGGGUCUCUUCUGACGCUGAUGCACGAAAGCUAGGGUAGCGAACGGG
rnacentral:rRNA from 1 species